UAAGGAAUAUUGGACAAUGGACGCAAGUCUGAUCCAGCCAUGCCGCGUGAAGGAUGAAUGCCCUCUGGGUUGUAAACUUCUUUUAUAGGGGAAGAAAGAUACUUUUUUUAAGGUAGUUGACGGUACCCUAUGAAUAAGCACCGGCUAACUCCGUGCCAGCAGCCGCGGUAAUACGGAGGGUGCAAGCGUUAUCCGGAUUUACUGGGUUUAAAGGGUGCGUAGGCGGGCAUGUAAGUCAGUGGUGAAAUACCGGAGCUUAACUUCGGAACUGCCAUUGAUACUAUAUGUCUUGAAUAUCGUGGAGGUAAGCGGAAUAUGUCAUGUAGCGGUGAAAUGCAUAGAUAUGACAUAGAACACCGAUUGCGGAGGCAGCUUGCUACGCAAAUAUUGACGCUGAGGCACGAAAGCGUGGGGAUCAAACA
rnacentral:rRNA from 1 species